rnacentral:rRNA from 1 species
UACAGGGGGUGCAAGCGUUGCUCGGAAUUAUUGGGCGUAAAGCGCGCGUAGGCGGCUACUUAAGUCGGAUGUGAAAGCCCUUGGCUCAACUGAGGAAGUGCACCCGAAACUGAGUGGCUAGAGUACGAAAGAGGGUCGCGGAAUUCCCGGUGUAGAGGUGAAAUUCGUAGAUAUCGGGAGGAACACCGGUGGCGAAGGCGGGUUGCUGGGCUGACACUGACGCUGAUGCGCGAAAGCCAGGGGAGCGAACGGG